rnacentral:lncRNA from 1 species
CUUAUUCUUCUGUGUGUAAAAAUUACCAAGAAAUGUCUUUAAUAUCAAUAAAACUAAUCUAACACUUGGUACAUAAGGGGAGAAUAUCAACACUAAAAACAAGAGUGCACACGCUAAAAUGUCCUGCCUCCUUUACUAAUCAUUGAUAUUAUGUUGAUAUACCUAAAUAUAAAGCUUUAUUACAACUGUCACAUAAACUCAACAUUAACCAAGAAAAUGAAACAUUGGUCAAUGAACCAUGAAAAUGAGGUCAAGGUCAGAUGAACCAUGCGAGGCAGACAUGUACAGCUAACAAUUCUUCAAAACAACAAAUAGCAGUGGAUCGUGAAAAUGAGAUCAAGGUCAAACGAAACCUGUGUAACAGACAUAUAGAUCAUAAAAUAUUUCCAUACACCAAAUAUAGUUGCCCUAAUGCAUACAUUAGAGGUUGAGAUCUCACAAACAUGUUUAACCCCGCCGCAUUUUUGCGCCUGUCCCAAGUCAGGAGCCUCUGGCCUUUGUUAGUCUUGUAUUAUUUUAAUUUUAGUUUCUUGUGUACAAUUUGGAAAUUAGUAUGGCGUUCAUUAUCACUGGACUAGUAUAUAUUUGUUUAGGGUCCAGCUGAAGGACGCCUCCGGGUGCGGGAAUUUCUCGCUACAUUGAAGACCUGUUGGUGACCCUCUGCUGUUGUUUUUUAUUUGGUCGGGUUGUUGUCUCUUUGACACAUUCCCCAUUUCCAUUCUCAAUUUUAUACAGCAUUAGAAAAAUAGACCAAAACUCAAAAACUUAACUUUGACCACUAAACCAUGAAAAUGAGGUCAAGGUCAGAUGACACCUGUCAGCUAGACAUGUACGCCUUACAAUCAUUCCAUACACCAAAUAUAGUAGACCUAUUGCAUAUAGUAUAAGAAAAACAGACCAAAACACAAAAACUUAAUUAUAACCACUGAACCAUGAAAAUGAGGUCAAGGUCAGAUGACACCUGCUAGUUGAACAUGUACACCUUACAGUCCUUCCAUACACCGAAUAAACUAGACCUAUUGCUUAUAGUAUCUGAGAUAUGGACUUUUAUCACCAAAACUUAACCUUGUUCACUGAUCCAUGAAUUGAGGUCGAGGUCAAGUGAAAACUGUCUGACAGGCAUGAGGACCUUGCGAGGUACACACAUACUAAAUAUAGUUAUCCAAUUACUUAUAAUAAAAGAGAAUUUAACAAUACAAAAAAUCUUAACUUUUUUUUAAGUAGUCACUGAACCAUGAAAUGGAGGUCAAGGACAUUGGACAUGUGACUGACAGAAAGUUUGUAACAUGAGGCAUCUAUAUACAAAGUAUGAAGCAUCCAGGUCUUUUUCCUUCUAAAAUAUAAAGCUUUUAAGAAGUUAGCUAACGCCGCCGCCCAAUCACUAUCCCUAUGUCGAGCUUUCUGCAACAAAAGUUGCAUGCUCGACAAUAUACAAUUAGUGUUAGAUAAAUCUUCCUGUACAGGUACGAGAACAAUAUUUAAGGAGAAAUGAAAUAAUUUUGAUGUUCAUAUUAGCUUUUUGGUCAUGAAUGUUUGUCUCUAAUAUUUAAUUAACUGUGCAUUUGUAUUCAGAUAUCGCAGAUCAAAUUAAUUCGUUCAUUGUUUAAUCAUACGUUUUUUGAUUGAGUUAAGUCUGCCAAUUGAUAUUUUAUCGUAUGUUUUUCUUUGUUGUGAUGUUAUGCUAUUGUUUCAGAAAAAGGGAGAAGGUUUGGAUCCAUUAAAACGUUUAAUCCCGCUGCAAAUGUUUGCACCUGUCCUAAGUCAGGAAUCUGAUGUACAGUAGUUGUCGUUUGUUUAUGUAAUAUAUACGUGUUUCUCGUUUUGUUUAUAUAGAUUAGACCGUUGGUUUUCCCGUUUGAAUGGUUUUACACUAGUAAUUUUGGGCCCUUUAUAGCUUGUUGUUCGGUGUGAGCCAAGGCUCCGUGUUGAAGGCCGUACUUUAACCUAUAAUGGUUUACUUUUUAAAUUGUUAUUUGUAUGGAGAGUUGUCUCAUUGGCACUCACACCACAUCUUCCUAUAUCUAUAGUACGAAAAAGUGAGAAUUUGUAGUAAUUCCAAAUAAUCAAAGAUGCUAUAUAGACAAGAUCCAUGUUAACAUUAAAAAACGAACCAGAUGCUCCGCAGGACGCAGCUUUAUACAACCGCAGAGGUCGAACCGUGAACAGUUGGGGCAAGUAGGGACAAAACAUUCAAGCUUGAUACUGCUAGGAAUUUGGAUUGUGAUUAAAUAGUUGACACAGAAUAGGUUUCUGACACAGAUUGAAUAUGGUCUAAUGAACUUAUUUUUUUUUUGCUUUUGAGCAAUAUACUAUGCUGUUGAAUAUUAAUCCCCUAAAAAAAACAUUUCAUGAAAUUUUCUUUUUAUUUUCUUAAAUCUGAUAUGAGAAAAAUUGUACUCCCCCUACAAAUUCUUAUUUACCCCCCAAUUUUUUUCACCUCCCCUUUUCCCUUAUUCCAAAAAUAAUUUCAAUUCAAAUUUCUUUUUGAGUUUGCAACAAUAACUAUACAGUCAAGGUUAAAACUAAUAUUAAUUAAAAGUAACUUCUAAAAAUAAAUUUACAGCUCAUCAUGUCAAGACAAUCAUCAUUUCUUAAUACAUAAUUUUCAAGCAGUGUAAGGGAGGUAAUCAAACAUAAAAAUAAC